rnacentral:rRNA from 1 species
GAUGAACGCUGGCGGCGUGCUUAACACAUGCAAGUCGAACGAAGCGCUUAAAUGGAUUUCUUCGGAUUGAAGUUUUUGUGACUGAGUGGCGGACGGGUGAGUAACGCGUGGGUAACUUGCCUCAUACAGGGGGAUAACAGUUAGAAAUGACUGCUAAUACCGCAUAAGCGCACAGUGCUGCAUGGCACAGUGUGAAAAACUCCGGUGGUAUGAGAUGGACCCGCGUCUGAUUAGCUAGUUGGUGGGGUAACGGCCUACCAAGGCGACGAUCAGUAGCCGGCCUGAGAGGGUGAACGGCCACAAGGGGACUGAGACACGGCCCUU